UGAUUGACUUUAGAGCAAGUGGGAGAUUGAAAGAAUAGUGCCCUACAAGCCAAUCGUAUGGGGAUGCGAAGAAAUUUUUCUGUGAUAUCUUCCUACUCAUUUACAUGACAUUAAUUAUUUUAUUUAUAUGAGAUAUUAUGUUUUAUCAUUUACUGUAUCAUAUUCUUAUGAUUAUGAUAAACCCCAUAGAUUAGGGUAAUGAUUUUAGAGCCAUGAGAGAUCAUAUCAGUGAGAUCUAAAAUCUUGAUAGCUUUAAUCUAAAAUAUUCUCAAUCAUUGGAUCAUCGAAUCGG
rnacentral:lncRNA from 1 species